UUGUUCCCAACCAGGGAGACAACAGGCUGGAUAUCAGAUUCCUCGUUGGCCUUCUUCACCAUGCUGAACCAAUCCUCCAGGUUCUCAAAGCUCUGGUAGUUGGUGAUAUCGUAAACCAGGAGAAGCCCCUGCAUUGGAAACGCAUAAAGGAACAAUGUUGGCACCGUCCUCAGACUGAUUUGAGCAUCUCACCUUCACACUCCCUCACUUGGAAAUACUGGAUAUAAGGUCAGGGUGUCGCUGCAACAUGAGGGAUGAAGAGGAAUUUGCACCUGGGCCACUUUGAAGCAGGUGGCAGUGACUGUCAGGCAAGAAUAAAAAGUCGAGACCAUCUGGUGGAAGCUCCCCCUCUUCAGAGGAAUCUGACAGCAGCUGCUCGUCUUCACUUUCACCCUCGAAUGACGACAGGUCGCUAGUGUGGACUGAGCUCACUGUGAUGUCGCUCAGGCCAUCCAGAUCCAUCUGGUCCUGCGUGUCCUCUGUUUUCACUUCUAAUGCCAGGACCUCUGAUGCCAGCUCCUCUGCCUCUUCCAGUGGCUUCCCGUCAUGGGGGCUGUCUCCAUCCUCAUCAACACUCAUGUCCUGCUCGCCCUCCUCCACCAGCUGCAUGGGCUCAUUGUAAGCUUGGCAUUUACGCCCUUUAUCUGCGCCUGAGCUGGCCCUGACGCUGGCUUCCUGGUUGAGAGAGGUUAUGGUGUCCAGGAUGGACAUGGCGUCGCUGGCGGAAGUGGUAGCUGGAGCAGAAGACAAGGCUGUAAAAAUGACAGAUGCUGUUUAAUUUAACAUUGAGGAGAAAGUCACCAUUCUGGUUGCACCUCUUUCACAUGACACUCAUAGUGCAAGGUCAGCUACAAAGCAGCUUUCCUGAUCAGCUUUAUCAAGGUGCACUAGGUUAGUUCACCAAGGCAGAACGAGUUUCAGAUACUUUGCUCCUUUUAAAUUUAAUGAACUGCCCUCAAGCUAAAUUCUCUCAUUCCUCAUGGAGAUCUCAAAGUUUGACUAUCUGAUGUUUUUAUGACUCUAAUAGUUUUUAUGAAUUAUAUUUUGUCACUUCAUGAUUAGUUGUUUGGCUUCAUCUGUGUUGUUCUUGUACACUGGUUGUGUGGCUGACUAUGUAUGAAUCUUGUUCUUAGAUCUCUCAUGAAAAAGAGAUUUUGAACUCAAUGAGAGUACCUCAUUAAAUUAAGUUAUUAAUUGCUUACUGAUAUGUUCAAAAUGUCAUGUCAGCAGUGUGUAAAUCUGAAUCCUCACUGUGCUCUGAGAGGCAGCCCCCAAGCCAUACAUUACAUACAUCAUAAACUUUACUAGAAAGGAGAAGUGAACUAAUGCUUCAACUUAAUUUAAGGCAGCUUUCCAUUUUUAAAGGAAUAGUUCAACACUUUGGGAGGUAGGUUUAUUCACUUUCUUUCUGAGUUAGAUGAGAAAGCAAAUAAGCAUGUUUCCAAAAAUUUGGAACUUAAAGAAUUAGUGGAAAUUCAAACAAGGAAAUGGCUGCUAUUGUCUGCAGAUCAGUAGAUAUCAGCCAUAAGCAGA